GCCCGCGUACCGUACCUGUCUUGUAAACAGGUAGACGUAGAGGAUCACGCCAGUUCGAAUCUAGCCGCGGGCUCCA
rnacentral:tRNA from 1 species